UUACCUGGGCUUGAACUGUACCUGACAGGUGUAGAGAUACACCCUUCUUCGGACAGGUAUAGAGGUGCUGCAUGGCUGUCGUCAGCUCGUGUCGUGAGAUGUUGGGUUAAGUCCCGCAACAAGCGCAACCCUUACCCCUUGUUGCUAUCAGGUAAAGCUGGGCACUCUAGGGGAACUGCCGGUGAUAAACCGGAGGAAGGUGGGGAUGACGUCAAGUCAUCACGGCCCUUAUGUCCAGGGCUACACACGUGCUACAAUGGCCGGUACAAAGAGACGCAAUGCCGCGAGGUGGAGCAAAUCUCAAAAAACCGGUCUCUGUUCGGAUUGUAGUCUGCAACUCGACUAUAUGAAGCUGGAAUCGCUAGUAAUCGUAGAUCAGCACGCUACGGUGAAUACGUUCCCGGGCCUUGUACACACCGCCCGUCACACCAUCUGAGUUGGCAGCACCCGAAGUGGCUGAUCUAACCGUAAGGAGGAAGGUUACUAAGGUGAAGUCGGUGAAGAGGGUGAAGUCGUAACAAGGUAGCC
rnacentral:rRNA from 1 species